GAAUAAGUUGACAAGAGCAUCAGGUGGAUGCCUUGGCGUCGGAAGGCGAUGAAAGACGUGGUAUGCUGCGAUAAGCCUCGGGGAGGAGCAAAACAUCCUUUGAUCCGGGGAUCUCUGAAUGGGGCAACCCAAUGGAAGUCAUGUUCCAUUACACCAGACUGAAUACAUAGGUCUGUGUGAGCUAACGCAGGGAAGUGAAACAUCUCAGUACCUGCAGGAAGAGAAAUCAAACGAGACUCCCCCAGUAGCGGCGAGCGAACAGGGAUGAGCCCAAACCGGCUGAAUUCGUUCAGCCGGGGUUGUAGGGCCGGCGUUUCCGAUUCAUGAGUAGUUAGAAGAAGAGAGCUGGAAAGCUCCACCACAGAGGGUGACAGUCCCGUAUUUGAAGGCGAAAGUGACGGUGCCGGUACCUGAGUACUGCGAGGCACGUGGAACCUCGUGGGAAUCCGGGAGGACCAUCUUCCAAGGCUAAGUACUCACCGACGACCGAUAGUGCACUAGUACCGUGAGGGAAAGGUGAAAAGAACCUCUUCAAGAGGAGUGAAACAGAAUCUGAAACCUGGUGCUUACAAGCUGUGGGAGCCAUCUUCGGAUGGUGACCAUGUGCCUUUUGCAUAAUGAGUCAGCGAGUUAAUCUGUACAGCGAGGUUAAGCGUUAGCGGAGCCGCAGCGAAAGCGAGUCUGAACAGGGCGAUUUAGUUGUGCGGAUUAGACCCGAAACCGGGUGAUCUAUCCAUGAGCAGGUUGAAGCAAGGGUAAAGCCUUG
rfam:Desulfovibrio sp. An276 An276_contig_86, whole genome shotgun sequence.